rnacentral:rRNA from 1 species
UUAAUUCGAUGAUCCGCGAAUAACCUUACCACAAUUUGAAUGACCUAAAAUAUUGUUAGCCUAGGGCUAGUUAACCCUAGGUUAUAAAGUUUUAGACCACAUGCGUUGCAUGGCUGUCUUCAGUUAAUGUCGUGAGAUUUGGUUAGGUCCAUUAAAUUAACGUAAACCCUUGUUUUAUUUAUUACAAUAAAGCAGCUCUCCGCUUACAAUUGGAUGUGAUAAUAGGGACUAAGACAAGUCAUCAUGGCCUUAAUAUUGUGGGCU